rnacentral:rRNA from 1 species
UGCAGAGGGUGCGAGCGUUAAUCGGAAUUACUGGGCGUAAAGCGUGCGCAGACGGUCAUGUAAGUCGGGUGUGAAAGCCCCGGGCUCAACCUGGGAAUUGCAUUCGAGACUGCAUGGCUAGGGUGCGGAAGAGGGAAGCGGAAUUUCCGGUGUAGCGGUGAAAUGCGUAGAUAUCGGAAGGAACACCAGUGGCGAAAGCGGCUUCCUGGUCCAGCACCGACGUUCAGGCACGAAAGCGUGGGGAGCAAACAGG